GGAAGGAUGCUCCAGCUCCCAGGGAUGUGGAGUCAGGCUGGGUGGAGGGUGCUGCUCCCACCCAGAUGCUUCUCCCACAUCUGCCUGGAAAGAGAAGGGUUUCCUUGAGCCGAGACUAAGAUUUUUGGCUGCACGGACACACAGGAGGAAGGUGAGCUGAUGCCUCAGCCCUGCGUUAGAGCCACAUAAUGGAAUAGGACGGAAGGGGAAAGACUCAUAGCAGAGGAGCAGAGAAAGUGGGAAUCCAGAGCUUUCUAGGAUCUUCUUAAAGGAAUCACCCGCUGAGAACACGACUUUAAAUUCCCGGAGUCCCCUUGGAAGGGAAAUCAGGCAUCAGCGGCUCCCAUGUCCAUCCCCUGGGCUUCAGGAACCUUCCAACCC